CGCCCACGAGGCUGUGCUGCAGACGUUUUUGGGCAUGGUCAUUCACUACAUGCAAAUGUUCGUGCUUUUGGUGGUGGUCCUGUUGAUGGCCUUCUGGCUCUGUGUCACGGCAAGCCUUGUGACGCAGCUCAAUGACCCCUUUUUGCCCAGGUGACAUGACUGCCGAGGAGCUCUUCAACAUGUUCUUUGGGGGUGGGUACCCUGGGGGCAACGUGUACGUGCGCCGGGGAGGGCGAUGGGAGCGAGCCAGCCAUGGAGGGGGUGGUCAAAGGUACCACGGGCAGCAGGGGCACCACCACCAGGCAGCACACUCAGAGCAGUCAAACCUCUCAGUGUUUCUACAGCUGAUGCCCCUCCUGCUCAUCCUGCUGCUGUCCUUGGCCUCGUCUCUGCUGUCGUCCGACCCAACCUACUCCCUCUCGCCCACCAGCAAGUACAGUGUCCAGCGUAGUACCUCAAACCUUGGGGUCUCGUACUAUGUGAAGCCUGACUUUUCGACUGACUACCAAGGAAGCAUUAGGCGGUUAGAGCAGCAUGUGGAGGAGGACUAUGUAUCCACUUUACGAAAUGCUUGCUUUAAGGAGAAGAAUUAUAAGGAAAACAUGAUAUGGAGAGCCCGGUCCUUUGGCGACGCACAGAUGUUCAAGAGAGCCCAGGAGUUACGAACCCCUUCGUGCGACUCGCUUCAGAGUCUCUAUAGUUAAGGAUGCACUCCACAAUAAGCUCUGUUAAUGUAGAUCUUGAGCAUUGCUUCAUUCUGCUGUAUGCAGGGAGGCAUAAUCUCUGGUGAGCUGUCAAGGAACAGCACGUGGAAGCUAUUCAGAUGCAGCAGAGAGAGGAGAGAGAGAGAGAGAGA